AGUCGAACGCUUCUUUCCUCCCGAGUGCUUGCACUCAAUUGGAAAGAGGAGUGGCGGACGGGUGAGUAACACGUGGGUAACCUACCCAUCAGAGGGGGAUAACACUUGGAAACAGGUGCUAAUACCGCAUAACAGUUUAUGCCGCAUGGCAUAAGAGUGAAAGGCGCUUUCGGGUGUCGCUGAUGGAUGGACCCGCGGUGCAUUAGCUAGUUGGUGAGGUAACGGCUCACCAAGGCCACGAUGCAUAGCCGACCUGAGAGGGUGAUCGGCCACACUGGGACUGAGACACGGCCCAGACUCCUACGGGAGGCAGCAGUAGGGAAUCUUCGGCAAUGGACGAAAGUCUGACCGAGCAACGCCGCGUGAGUGAAGAAGGUUUUCGGAUCGUAAAACUCUGUUGUUAGAGAAGAACAAGGACGUUAGUAACUGAACGUCCCCUGACGGUAUCUAACCAGAAAGCCACGGCUAACUACGUGCCAGCAGCCGCGGUAAUACGUAGGUGGCAAGCGUUGUCCGGAUUUAUUGGGCGUAAAGCGAGCGCAGGCGGUUUCUUAAGUCUGAUGUGAAAGCCCCCGGCUCAACCGGGG
rnacentral:rRNA from 1 species